UACGUAGGUGGCAAGCGUUGUCCGGAUUUACUGGGCGUAAAGAGCGCGCAGGCGGUCGUUCAAGUCGCGUGUGAAAGCCCCCGGCUCAACUGGGGAGGGUCACGCGAUACUGAUCGACUCGAAGGCAGGAGAGGGAAGUGGAAUUCCCGGUGUAGUGGUGAAAUGCGCAGAUAUCAGGAGGAACACCGAUGACGAAGGCAGCUCGCUGGGACGGUACUGACGCUGAGGCGCGAAAGCGUGGGGAGCAAACAGG
rnacentral:rRNA from 1 species